GGGAGGCACCCAAGGAAUCCUCUAGGGGAGUGGGGGUGGGCUGCAUCUUGCCCUUCCAAGAGCUUGCGGUGGCUGGGGCUGCGCUGGGGGUGCCGAAAGGUGGCCGUGUGGCCCAUCUCCAUGAACUGGUGGACUUGAGCAGAAUGCUGACCCUGAGCUACAUAACCGCCUGGUCCUCAGAAGUGCCUGGAGUGGCUGUGGAAGAAAAAAAGGCAGAAGCCACAGCUGGCCCCUGGGAACCGAAGAUGGUAGAAUGCCAGGCAUGCAUCAGAGGACCAGCUGAGACCUUUGCAAUCCUGAAAGACUUAAGUGAAGAUGACUACUUGGUUCACAUUGGCUAAAAGAGCCCUUUAAGGCAAGUUCCUGUCAUUUUACAGAUUGGGAAACUGAGGCUCCUGGGAUGGAACCCGCUAGCCCAAGAACACAUCUCUACCUCUCUCUCUGUCUCUGUCUCUCUCUCUCCAUGGUUCUUUUUCCUCUGCAUCCCUUUAUAUUCUCCACUGUCUGUCUUGACUUUGCCCCUCAAAUUAGUGAACACGCAAUAGAAAGCAUGGUCUGUGCUCCAGCCCCACAGCCCUGCAACCCCACACAGCCUUGCAACCCCACAGCCCUGCAACCUUACACAGCCCUGCAGCCCCAUAGCCCUGCAACCCUGCAUCCCUGCAGCCACACAGCCCUACAGCCCACUGCCUGCUCUACAGCUCUGCAUCCCUACUGCCCUGCAGUCAUGAGACCCUGCAGCUGCACAGCCGGGACACGAGAGCAAAGGGGGCUCUCCUCACCAUGGCCAGGGCAGGAAACCUCAGCAAAUGCCUUGACUGGAUCUGGUGCCCAGUCCUGGACCAGUCACUGUUGAACCUUGGUCAUGUGCCAACCCUGCAGCUGAGACAGUGAGUCGGUGAGUGUGGACCUCCACAAGCCCUGUGGGCAGACCACAGGAAGAGUCCCUGUGUUCCAUGGCAAUGGGAAGCUGACCAGGAGCUCCCUCCCAUUCUUCCCCACCUCUGGCACUCUGUCCUUGGAGCACAGUAUUCUUUACUGCCAUUCUCCAGACCCUCACCUGGGACGAUGGAUGUGAGAGCACAUCCCUCCAUUUCUUCUGAGAUGGCAGUCUCUAGGAUGCUCACUAAAUUACUCUAGAAAUUCCUAACACUGACAUUUAUUGGGCCUUGGCCAAGGCAUCAGACAGUGUGAAGUAUAUUGCUUGGAUGAAGUCAAGUCAACCCUGCAGACACACAGGUGAGGCAGAAGCCAUUAUUGUCUCUGUCUUGCUGAUGAGGUAGCUGAGGUGCUGGGUGCUGGAGUGAGCCGCCAUGUGAGAUCAGGGAAAGGUAGUGUUCAAAGUCAGGGUUGUUGCAGUCACCCAGUGCCCUGGGAAGCUGUGGUAAGCCAGCUCACUCUGGGCUGGGCAGCAGAGAGGGGUGAGCCCCUAGCCUGCUUCAGGAGUUUUCAAGACAUGUACUGUCUAUGACACAGGCCUAAGAGCCAACACUGUGGAACUCUGCCUUCACAAUCCAUUUUGGAGAAAAGAGAGCAGCAUCUGAUAGUGAGCCACUCACCUACUGAGAGGCACAAAAAGUGGGCCACGGAGACUGCGAUUCACGUCUGCCUGGCUGAACGCCAUGCAACACACUUUUCUGCAGAGUAAACAAUCCUAGGUUUGAGCCUGGGGCAAGGGUGUGAAAGCGGCAAGGCUCUUUGGGAAGAUGACAAAGACUUUUGGGGAAGUGACAGUCCUCUUCCUACAUCCAGUGCCCACUCUCAUAUGGAGAACGACUGUGGCCCUGGGGACAGGUGGGAGAGAGGAGCUGUCCACUCCACUCGCUCAGGAUUUGCUCAGAGAGGGGUUUGUGCCCACACAGAUGCUGCAUUCUUCACAAUUAGUGGCAAGUGACAGAGUGUGGCUUGAAUUGGUUUAAGGGGGGAUAGGGAAGAGAUUUUCUUUCUGAAAAGCUCAGAGAAAUCUGCUUCAGGCAUGGCUUGAUCAAGGAACUUAAUGUCCACAGACAUCUCUGCCAGGCUCAAGCAGUACCAUCAGCCACAUGGGCUCUGCUUUCUAAAAGGUCUCACUUCCUGAAGGCAGGCUACCCAACAGACACCCAGGAGACACGCUAGACGGACACACAGUUAACAGCUCCUGAAAGGGGAAGUCCUAUUUACAUUUAUUCUCAAUUCCAAGAUUUGAGUGUUCUGGGGUUUGUUUGGGCCACAGGUCCCUCCAUCUGUGAAACAUGGUGAUCCCACAGAGGUAGAAGUAGUGACUGACUCAGGCUACGCCCUCUACUACCCCGUGACAUUGAAGGAGAGUCAGGCUGUGGCCUGUGAUGGACUGUGCUGAGUGAGGAGAAGCCAUCUGGGCAUCCCAGAAGUGAAGCAUAGCUGGAGACCAGGGGAUGAAAGGGAAGGCUGUGAGACUCAACUACACAGGAAUAAACGGGGCUGCAGGCCUUCUGGGGAGCUCAGAGCAGGGAUUCCAUAGAGGUAGAGAGCAGAGAUGAGGACAAAGGCUUUGGCUGGAUUCAUGAUUUGAGGUCUUAGACAGUGUCUCCCUCUCCCUCUCCCUCUCCCUCUCCCUCUCCCCAU